GUGGCUAUUUGCGCUAAAAAUAACAGGAAAUGGGACCACGGGGGGAAAAAUGUAAUUGGGGAUGAAGGCAGAGACAAAAAGUUUACUUCUUUUGGUAGGCUUGAUCAUUAUAUUGUUAAAUAAUCAGUAUAAAUUUCAGGGAAAAGAUUAGCACUAGAAAUGUAGAUUUGAGUUAUUCUGUGAUAAUUGAAGUAAGGAAGUUUAAAUCGUGAGAAAGGAAGGUAAAAAAUCAUGCUUUUAAAGAUUAUGGUUUAUUUUGGGGUGGAAACAGGGAAAAUGUUGUCAUUGAAGAAGUUAAGCUUUUCAGGACUGGAGAAAGAGAGAAAUACAGUGACAGCUCAGUCCACAGAGAAAAGUUGUGUAGGGAUUAGUCAGCUAUCAAAUAUUGUGGUCCCCCAUUAUCUGUUCGGAAGAUGUUCCAAGACCCCCAGUGGAUGCCCUGAAACUGCAAAUGGUACCAAACCCAGUUUCUGUCGAUUGGAAUAUAUUUCCGUUAGUGUCUUUUACUUGGGAAUUUAAUGCCUUUUCCAUCUUAAAUCAUGUACUGUGGCCAUAACUUUUCCAGUUUGAAGUGUGACAGCAAAACUAGCAUGGACUUCUUUUUCCUUCACAAUUUGAUGUAUAGAAGAUUUUUUAUAACCAUAGAUCUUAGCAACUUCAACAUAUGAUUUUUUUUCUUUCCUUAUUAAGUCAGGAACUUUUACCUUUUCACUUAAAGCAAACACUCAGAGUGGUGUACAAUUUAAAACAUAUGAAUUGUUUAUUUCUGGAAUUUUUCAAUUUAAUAUUUUUGGACCUCUGUUGACUGCAGGUAACUGAAACCAUGGAACAGGGAAACCAUGGAUAAGGGGUGUGCUACUGUACUAUAAAGUUGAAGGUGAAUAGGACUGAGAACAGGUCUCUGGAUUUGUGGACUAGGCAGUCACUAGUUACUAGUCCAGAGUCACUAGUAACUAGUAGCUAUUAAAAUAUUAUAUUGUAGUUAUAGAGUAUAGUGAAAAGUUGAAUGACAGAGGAAAGUAAAGUUAUUACUGAAUCAAGGAUACUGAGGAAAUGAAUGGAAUUCCAAGUAGUUGGAUUAGCCUUGGCAAAAAGGACAUCUUCAGAGAGGUGAGAAGUACUUAAAGAUAGAACAGUUCAAAAUGGUGUCUAGGUCCAAGAUAUGGUGAUUCAUGACUAAGUAGAUAAAAUGGAAUAGAGAGGAGGGGCUCAGAAAACUUUGAGAUUAAAGUUCAUAUAUACACAUAAUUUUCUUAACAUCCUUAAACAAUAAGUUUAAUUGUUUUUUCAGUCUGGCAUUUCUGUCAUUCAUAUACUGGUUUCAUUACUUUUAAAAGUUUUUUUUUUUUUUAAAACUUUUUCAUAGCUUUCUAUAUUUUUUCCUAGUUGAAAUAUUUCUCUAAGAAUCCACAUUUGUGCCUUUUAUUUGAUGUAUACUCUUAAAAGCUACAACUGUGUUUUUAAUACCUUUUUGGACAUUUUACUAAUAAAGUCCUAUUUCUUCAUCCCCCAAUUAAAAGCUGCUUUACAAUUCCAAAGAAAAAUAAAAAGAAAACAUCAAAUCAAAAAGCACAAGAAGAAUAUGAACAGGUACAAGCUAAACGUGCUGCUAAGAAACAAGAAUUCGAGAGGAGAAAACAGGAGAGAGAAGAAGCCCAAAGGCAGUACAAAAAGAAGAAAAUGGAAGUGUUUAAAAUAUUGAACAAAAAGACUAAAAAGGGCCAACCAAACUUGAAUGUACAAAUGGAGUACCUUCUUCAAAAAAUACAAGAAAAAUGUUAAACAUUUUAUUCCUACAGGUUAAAAUAUCUGCUGCCUAUUAGGUUCUUCUGUGACAAGUGCCUCCCAGCAGUGAACUAAAUUUGUCGACAUAAACUGGAUUGCUAAACUAUGCUAAAUAUAAGAUGUUCACAUAUUUUUAUUAUGGUAAAAAGUUUUCUAAAUAUGUUCUACAUAUGUUUCUUAUUUAUUUGCCUCUGAAGGAAGGUUGGCCUGAAGAACUGAAAGAACCUCUUAUUUGCCAGACAGGCCCAAGCAUGUAGUACUUUUGUACCACAUGAGAUUUAUAUGAAAUAAAUUUUUUUAAAAAUAAGGAA
rnacentral:sRNA from 1 species